UAAAGGACGUAGCGAAACACGAAAGGUGUUGCGAAUUGCAAGAUUUCGCGAGUCAAUGACCAUCCGAAUGCAUCGUCGUCCUCCGACUGCCUUCGGGCUGAGGAGGACGCGUCGGCGACAUCGUUCGGAACGCGCGCUCUCCCCCUUCGACGGGGC
rnacentral:rRNA from 1 species